rnacentral:snRNA from 2 species
AUCGCUUCUCGGCCUUUUGGCUAAGAUCAAGUGCAGUUAGAAGUAUAUCAAGGUAAUAUUAUUCCUAUCUAUCAUAAAUUUCGGGUACUCUUUUGAUUUUGUUUUGAUCUUCAUUCUUUUCCUUGAAGACAUCGAGGUUUUUAAA